rnacentral:lncRNA from 1 species
UUUUUUUUUUUUUUCUAAUCUCUCUCAAUUCUAGCCUGAGUGUCUAUUUAUCAGUAUUUCUUCCCUUGGGUCAAAUGAUGAGUCUUGACACUUUAUACUUGUAGGCACCAAUUUCUUUUAGUGUAUUAAUAUCAAGCAAAAUGAUUUCUGCCCUUAAGGUUUUAUCUUCUGCAUUAUUAGUAACACUAAUCAAUUGAUCGCCUGUCCUUGCCUUCCCACCUUACCAUUUUGUUCAAAACCCAUCUAGCAUUCAUUGGUACUCAUUUCCAACAAACAAAAAUUAAUAGAAUAAUUGCUAUUUAUUAUGGCAAACAAAACAUUAAUUAAAAAUUAUGAACAGUUUUUAGAUUAGGUUAAUAGCCAGCAAAAUAACUCUGGUCUUGCCAAAGUUUCAUAAUAUAAUUGUUUCAGUUAAAGGAAAUAAUUCUUUCCAACCUUUUAUACAGCAUUAAGAUGUUCCCCUGAAUUAUUUGAACAUUGCUGUAUUUCUGGCAUAGGACUCGGUCCAUUACUUGACAUAUUAAAGUGCUUAAUAAAUGUUUGAGUGACAGACUAGUGAAGUAAUGAUAUGGCUGGAUAAAUGAUAUGUAUAAAAUAGUGUGCCAUUUUACUUUCCUAGAUCCUGGGUAACUGCCCAUAUUUCUAGUUGUUGAAAGAUCUCUCCUAAUCAAAAUUAUUCUCUACCACUGUCAAUCUUCAGUUGGGGCUUCCUAUUACCAAAAAUAACUCAGUGCUCUAAGUAUUUAGAUAUAACACACAGAGAAAAACCACUGGAAUAUUUGGUAAGGGACCUGUAACCCCUGGAGGCAUUUUGUGUAGGACUCUGAUAUGUGUUUCAAUGAUUCCUUAUUCUACCUGGAUGACCAAGGUGGCCUUCUGGGGGUCUGGUGGUGGUGAAUUUUAUUUUAAAAAUUUAUGGAUUCAUCAACCAUGGCUUUUGCUAGACUAUGGCUUCCCCCCCCGCCCCCUUUUAACAGUGUUUUCAGGCUGGCACACAUCACAGUAUAAUAGCUGUGAUAUUGAGAAAAAAGAUUGCUUACAACCAUUUUCAACAUACACUACACGUUCCCCCCCCCUUUGGUUGCAAAUGUCCCCUUUUUUUUUACUUUAUAAAAUCUCAAGAAAUAAACUUUCACAAGUGUUUUAUUCACAACCAAAUUUUUCCUGUUAUGUUAGAAUGCGAUUGUAUUUUUCAAAAGGCCAAAAAAAGAAAAUAACCCACCAUUAUUCUAGGCCAUUUUGGUAAUACUUUUCCUUUAUAUUUCUUUUUGGUCUUUUUCAACUUGGUUUCCAUGUAUUUACUUUGACUUGUUUGAAUUUCUACUAAAACCAAAGGGCAAAACCUACUAAAAACAAAGGACAAAAUUGUUUUAAUUAAAAUCCAGACUCUGAAUACAGUUACCCAUAUAGAUGAAUCCUUUUUCCUUAAGUAUUCUACUCUUCCAUGAGGACAAAAAUCACUUGAUCAUCUAAAAAACAGUAAUAUUAUUUAGGAAAUAAAAACUGGAUUCUAUACAGGCCCCCAUUAAUUUUACUUCUUUUAGAAUUUUAAUAAAUAUUCAUUUGCACAUUGCUGGCAAAAAAGAACUUCUCUAAUAAGUUAUUUCCCAAAAUUUGCUCCUUGAAACACAAGUUUGGUGUUGCAUGAGCCUAGGAUCCCAUAGCCAAAUAUAUUUGGGAAAUAUAAUAUUGUUUCUACACCAUUGGGAAAUUUGUUGCACACAUCCUGGGUAAGUUGAAAAGUGGGCUUCAUUUUUGCCAGCAUUGAAGUCAUUUGGACUUGGAGUGACUCCUUUUGAAGAGACAGGAACAAAAAGAUCUUCAAAUAGUCUGGACUUUGUACUUAGUAUUUUCAUCUUCGAGUUAAUAUUUACCACCAUCCUUCUGUUUUGAUACUUGUGACAGUCCCACAUGCAGAGGCAGAUGAACAUUUUGUGGGGCCUGAAGUGUAUACAAUUUUGGAGUCCUUUGUGAGAAAAAGAAUACAAAUUUAUUCUACUUUUACAAACUUUAUAUAAACCUAUGACAAUGUGAACACACUUCUGGGGACCAUCCCAGGGCCUUGGAAAGGCUCAUGCAAGCAAGGGGCCCUGAAGUUUAAGCUUUGUGAGUUAU